rnacentral:rRNA from 1 species
UACGGAGGAUCCGAGCGUUAUCCGGAUUUAUUGGGUUUAAAGGGUGCGCAGGCGGGAGAUUAAGUCGGCGGUGAAAUUUUGCAGCUCAACUGUAAAAGUGCCUUCGAAACUGGUUUCCUUGAGUGUAGAUGAAGUAGGCGGAAUUUGUGGUGUAGCGGUGAAAUGCUUAGAUAUCACGAGGAACUCCGAUUGCGCAGGCAGCUUACUAAACUACUACUGACGCUCAGGCACGAAGGCGUGGGGAUCAAACAGGAUUAGAUACCCCCGUAGUCCCU